AUUUGAUGCUGUUAUAUGAAUUGUCUAGCGAAGGUAUUAAUUACUUACUGGAUUGUUUAGCUCAUUAUACGGUUUAUUACUGUUUUCACAUAUCUGGAGAAUUAGAUUGACUCGGAGAUUUAUGAUGAGAGAGUAAUUAGAGACAAGAUAUAGACAUUUUUAUUUAGAUUAGAUUUUGUUUUAGAUUGAUGAAAGAUUUUUUUUGGUACAAAUUGAUGCAAGAUUUUAGAAUAUUAUUGGUUUUGUAAGACUUAUCAUUUUAUCAU
rnacentral:lncRNA from 1 species